GAUGAACGCUGGCGGCGUGCCUAAUACAUGCAAGUCGAGCGAACGGACGAGAAGCUUGCUUCUCUGAUGUUAGCGGCGGACGGGUGAGUAACACGUGGAUAACCUACCUAUAAGACUGGGAUAACUUCGGGAAACCGGAGCUAAUACCGGAUGAUAUUUUGAACCGCAUGGUUCAAAAGUGAAAGACGGUCUUGCUGUCACUUAUAGAUGGAUCCGCGCUGCAUUAGCUAGUUGGUAAGGUAACGGCUUACCAAGGAAACGAUGCAUAGCCGACCUGAGAGGGUGAUCGGCCACACUGGAACUGAGACACGGUCCAGACUCCUACGGGAGGCAGCAGUAGGGAAUCUUCCGCAAUGGGCGAAAGCCUGACGGAGCAACGCCGCGUGAGUGAUGAAGGUCUUCGGAUCGUAAAACUCUGUUAUUAGGGAAGAACAUAUGUGUAAGUAACUGUGCACAUCUUAACGGUACCUAAUCAGAAAGCCACGGCUAACUACGUG
rnacentral:rRNA from 1 species